rnacentral:rRNA from 1 species
CCUACGGGGGGCAGCAGUGGGGAAUAUUGGACAAUGGGGGGAACCCUGAUCCAGCGACGCCGCGUGAGUGAAGAAGUAUUUCGGUAUGUAAAGCUCUAUCAGCAGGGAAGAACGGACUGACGGUACCUGCCUACGAAGCCCCGGCUAACUACGUGCCAGCAGCCGCGGUAAUACGUAGGGGGCAAGCGUUAUCCGGAUUUACUGGGUGUAAAGGGAGCGUAGACGGUUACGCAAGUCUGGAGUGAAAGGCGGUGGCCCAACCCCCGGACUGCUUUGGAAACUGUAUAACUGGAGUGCAGGAGAGGUAAGUGGAAUUCCUAGUGUAGCGGUGAAAUGCGUAGAUAUUAGGAGGAACACCAGUGGCGAAGGCGGCGUACUGGACUGUAACUGACGUUGAGGCUCGAAAGCGUGGGGAGCAAACAGGAUUAGAUACCCCAGUAGUC